rnacentral:rRNA from 1 species
GACGAACGCUGGCGGCGUGCCUAACACAUGCAAGUCGAGCGAGGUAUUUAUACCUAGCGGCGGACGGGUGAGUAACACGUGGGUAACCUGCCUCAUAGAGGGGAAUAGCCUUCCGAAAGGGAGAUUAAUACCGCAUAAUAUAUACCGGUAGCAUUUAAUGGUAUAUCAAAGGAGAAAUCCGCUAUGAGAUGGGCCCGCGGCGCAUUAGCUAGUUGGAGAGGUAACGGCUCACCAAGGCGACGAUGCGUAGCCGACCUGAGAGGGUGAUCGGCCACAUUGGAACUGAGACACGGUCCAGACUCCUACGGGAGGCAGCAGUGGGGAAUAUUGCACAAUGGGGGAAACCCUGAUGCAGCAACGCCGCGUGAAUGAUGACGGCCUGG